rnacentral:rRNA from 1 species
AUAGCCUAACGGGUGAACCAGCAACUUGGAGGAANGUAUAGCAAUAGCUAACUGCACUAAAAAUUUUAGUGUAAAAUCAACUAUGUUGAAUAAAAUUCUGGGUAGUAUUAAGAUAAUGACAUUACUUAUUCAUAAGUCUUGACCAAAUUACGUGCCAGCAGUCGCGGUAAUACGUAGAAGACAAGUGUUAUUCAUCUUUAAUAGGUUUAAAGGGUACUUAGACGGUAAAUCAAGCCUCAAAAAAGGGACUAAUUUGCUAGAGUUUUAUGUGAAAAAGUUUUAAAGUACUGCUGGUGUAGAGAUGAAAUUCUGUAAUACCUUGAAUGGCACAGGUUAUGGCGAAAGCAUCUUUUUAUGUAAAAACUGACGUUGAAGGACGAAGGCUUUGUGUCUCGAACAGGAUUAGAUACCCUAGUAGUCUAAGCAGACAAUGAUGAAUGUCAUAGAUUAGAUGUAAUUUGAUCUAUAAAUGAAAGUGUAAGCAUUCCACCUCAAGAGUAAUUUGGCAACAUUGGAACUGAAAUCAUUAGACCGUUUCUGAAACCAGUAGUGAAGUAUGUUGUUUAAUUUGAUAAUCCGCAAAAAACCUUACCACCUUAAGAGAAUAUUAUAUAAAUAAUAGAAUGUAAUAUGAAUAGAUAUAUUUUAUCGUACAAGCGUUGCACGGCUGUCUUCAGUUAAUGUCGUGAGACUUUGGUUAGUUCCAUAAAAUUAACGUAAACCCUUACUUUAUUUUUAAAUAAAGUAGCUCACCGCUAUAUUGGAUGUGAUAAGA